AAUUAAACUUUUUUUAGCUACCACAAUCUGGAGUCAGCAGUGUGUUGGAAUUUCGGAGCUGUCCAGGAGAUGGGACUUCAUGAAGGAUAGACAAUGUGUACAUGUAAUACAUGGUACAUUGUGAUUAUUUUGAUAUACCAAGUGCUGUUUAAAAAAGUAUAAUAAUCUAAAUUCAUCCAAUUCAAAUUUUUAUCAUUUUUCAGAUAUAUCUUUAUAUUACAUAUAUUUCACAUGUACAAGCUUGUAUAUGCCUUUGUGCUAAAUUUUCAUUUGAUAUAAGAAACUGCAACAAAAUUUAUAUGUACCUAUCAAUGAUUUUUAUAAAAUUUUCACACUAAUGAUAUGCCAAUAGUUUUGUGUGCAAUAAAAAUCUGUACUUU
rnacentral:sRNA from 1 species